CAUAUCAGAGGAGUGGCUCCCCACACUGGGUGUCUUCUUGUGCCUGCUGAACUGGAAGCUGAUUUCUGAAGCUGUGUCUGAUUCUGUCUGCAAAUCAAGCCAAGAAAAAGAGGUGCUGGAACUCACCAUGAAUGCCUCCCCCGUUCUCUUGGAACAGACAUGGCACCUACCUGAAAGUCACCAGAACUCGGUUCCAAUCUACAGCUGCCUGUCAAUGCCAAUCCCACUUCCAUUGGACACACUACCUUCUCUGCAGAGGAUGGAAGAGUAGACAACCUCAGUCUUGGCUUUGGUUUGGAUCUGUGUCCUUCUGCUGAAUCCAAAGAAGCUUCACGUGAUCUGCAGAGAAAGAACAACAUUUUAUCACAAAGACACAAAUCCUGAGAUGAUGAUGAUGUAUUGGAUAAUCUCAUUGGAUCAUGUAUUGGUUACAACAGUAUGAAAAUUGUUAUGUACUGAGUUGAAUAGGAUCCAAACUGCAGCAGUCUG